AUUGAACGCUGGCGGCAGGCCUAACACAUGCAAGUCGAGCGAGCGGCGGACGGGUGAGUAAUGUAUGGGGACUGCCCGAUAGAGGGGGAUAACUACUGGAAACGGUGGCUAAUACCGCAUACUAUCGGAUAACCCAUAUGGGAUUAGCUAGUAGGUGGGGUAAAGGCUCACCUAGGCGACGAUCUCUAGCUGGUCUGAGAGGAUGAUGAGGAACAUCGGGACUGAGAGACGGCCCAGACUCCUACGGAGGCACCAGUGGGGAAUAUUGGACAAUGGGCGCAAGCCUGACGCAGCCAUGCCGCGUGUGUGAAGAAUGUGUUAGGGUUGUAAAGUACUUUCACCUGGGAGGCGUUACCCGCAGAAGAAGCACCGGCUAACUACGUGCCAGCAGCCGCGGUAAUAC
rnacentral:rRNA from 1 species